CCUUAUAAUUAAUCAAUCAAUCAACCAACCAACCAAUCAAUCAACAAAUCAAUCAAUUAAGCACAAUCUACUGUCAGAAGCUGACUAACAGAGCAGAAAUAUAGAGGCUGUACCACAAGAUGUAAAGCUCAAAGGCCAGAUUGGAAUUAGCCAGAAAAUACAGAGAUGUUAUAUAGAGAGAGACUUUUAUGGGCUGAUGAGAUCAAUAUUAGCCUUUCCAGAAGUUAUGGAGAGACCAAACUCUGGAGAAGGCAAGGAUCUGCUCAGGAACCAGAAUGUAGAAGCUCAUCAGUCAAACGCUUGGGCUUGCAUGGCAGCUCCUGGAAUGGGCUCACUGAAACUCACUGAAGAUUGUGUUCCAGCUUUACGUGAUUAAGCCCUGACGCAAUGCGGUUUGGCACAAUGUGAGAAAAGCAGCAUUGAAGAUUCCAAAACUUUUACUUCUACGUUUUUAAAUCUUCCAUUCUCAGCAGCAGUGAGACCUGAGAGACAUCAUCAGAGAAUAAACACACUGAAACCCCCUCUUUA